AUCGCUUCUCUGGCUUUUAGCUGAGAUCAAGUGUGGUAUCUGUUCUUAUCAAUUUAAUAAAUAUUGUGGAAAAUUUUAAAACUACCACUGGAUAUCCAGAACUCUGAACUUCUUAUAGUCUAGUUCAUAGAUCUUUUACUAUUUACUGGAAAAUCUGU
rnacentral:snRNA from 1 species